GCCGAGUUGUGACGAAUGACAACCAAUACAAACUGCAGAUCGUUCGAGUUCUUUGUUAGACUUGUUAUUUCGAACGCACCAAUGUUUUCACAAUAGGUCGGAUAUGCGUUUGAAUAUAUCGUUAAUUUUGGUUCAGUUCAACAAGCUUUCUUAACACAACAAUACUUGUCUCUCUCCACGUGUUUUGGGUUAGGCUAACUGAAGAAUUUCACGAUGUUUUUAAUGUACUAUGAAAAUGAAAGUGGGGAUCGUGUGUACACUUUAAAGGUAAUUAAUUGAUAAGUCAAUGGUAUCAAUUACAAAAAAACCCAAACAUUUUAUAAAUAAUUAAGUGUAAUUUAAAUGAUAACCAAAUAAAUUAAAUAUUCAAAAACAUAAAUUUGCAACUACACACUUAUACAGAUACUUUACUUCAGGAGCAGAAUAAUUACAACGAAUACGUAUACUAUAAUAUAUCAAAAAGUGAAAUACAGAGAUAACAAUGGUAAUUGAUAUAUACAUUUACACACAGACACACUUAAAAAUUUGCAUUGUGCAGUUGUGUACAUGGUGUAUAACGUUGCUGUUUUUCAUACCCUAAAUCUCUAAUAUUCAGUUUCUAUAGGAAUGUAGCAUUAUAGGAUAAUCUUUGAUUUUUACUAAGGCUCUGCAUUUUUUUUUUCUCUCUAGCCUUUUAUGUCACUUUUAUCGGUUCUGUUUUUUUUAUAGUUAUCCUGACUUUUUUUUUUACCUUAAAUGUCGGUUCCUGACUUUUUUUUUUGCAAGUGUCACAUCCUGUGCCUUUUUUUUACUCAAAACUCCUGUCCUGGCCUAUUUUAUUUCAAAUUUCAUCUAGCCCCCAUAAAAAUCAAAGAGUCAUAAUUAUUUGGACUAAUGUACAUCUUAAUAAUUUUCUGAUAAUUUUUUAUUUUAAAAUUGAGGACAUUUACAUUUUACAUUUAAAAUUUUAAAACUUUUUUUUAAAAGCAACCUCAAUCAGACAUACGCCAGAAUGUAAUCUUCAAAAUGUUGAUGAUUUUUUAACUAAAGAAGAGAAGAGACCCAGGUAAAGAAAUCUGUGUUUACUUUGUAACUAUCAUAUCAUUAAUGUACAAAAUUAUAGAAUAAUGAUCAAUAAUGAAAAUGUUGUUUUUCAAUACGUCAUACUCCUAUUAAUUUUAUAGUUGCAAGUCGUUAAUUGUAUUUCAUGUUUUAUUUCAGAAAACAGAUCCAGAAGGCAGACCUACACUGUCUGCACAUCCUGCAAGAUUUUCACCAGACGACAAAUAUUCAAGACAUAGAAACACAAUAAAGAAGAGAUUUGGCAUUCACCCAAUACAGCAACCAAAGGUGGAAAUGUGAAAUAACAAUAUUAAGCAUCAUUUGGAAAAAAGACAAACUGCCAUUUUGAAAUUGGAAAAAGACAAAACAUUAUUCAUACUAUCAAACUACAAAUACAUUUGUAACCAUUUGUAAACAUACUGAUGAACACAUCUUUAAAAACUUGUCUGACUCUGUCUAAAUAAAUGUUGAAACUUUUUGCAAAAAUAAACAAA
rnacentral:lncRNA from 1 species